rnacentral:sRNA from 2 species
GUUUGCACUUGUCGGGGAAGGGUGAGAACCUUCGAUUAAGGUUCGACUUGAGCGAAAGCGAGAGAACGUUGCCAACGG